rnacentral:rRNA from 1 species
UACGUAGGGUGCAAGCGUUGUCCGGAAUCACUGGGCGUAAAGGGCGCGUAGGUGGUUUGAUAAGGGUGUGGUGAAAGUCCGGGGCUCAACCCCGGAUCUGCCGUGCCGACUGUCAAACUCGAGGACUGUAGAGGCAGACGGAAUUCCGGGUGUAGCGGUGGAAUGCGUAGAGAUCCGGAGGAAGACUGGUGGCGAAGGCGGUCUGCUGGGCAGUUUCUGACACUGAGGCGCGACAGCGUGGGGAGCAAACAGG